CCUACGGGAGGCAGCAGUGAGGAAUAUUGGUCAAUGGACGAGAGUCUGAACCAGCCAAGUAGCGUGAAGGAUGACUGCCCUAUGGGUUGUAAACUUCUUUUAUAUGGGAAUAAAAUGUUCCACGUGUGGGAUUUUGUAUGUACCAUAUGAAUAAGGAUCGGCUAACUCCGUGCCAGCAGCCGCGGUAAUACGGAGGAUCCGAGCGUUAUCCGGAUUUAUUGGGUUUAAAGGGAGCGUAGGCGGAUUGUUAAGUCAGUUGUGAAAGUCUGCGGCUCAACCGUAAAAUUGCAGUUGAAACUGGCAGUCUUGAGUACAGUAGAGGUGGGCGGAAUUCGUGGUGUAGCGGUGAAAUGCUUAGAUAUCACGAAGAACUCCGAUUGCGAAGGCAGUUCACUGGACUGCAACUGACACUGAGGCUCGAAAGUGUGGGUAUCAAACAGGAUUAGAUACCCUUGUAGUC
rnacentral:rRNA from 1 species